AGUUGAGUUCUUGAUUUGAUUCUCAGCUUGGUCAUUGCUGGUGUAUAGAAGAGCUACUGAUUUGUAUACAUUGAUUUUGUAUCCAAAAUCUAGGUUUGUGUAAGUUCAGUCUACGAUGUUCACACAAAGAGGAAAUUGCCUAAUGACGCCUUUCAUCUGUGAAACACACACAGCCUUUAACCACCACCAUAAUCAAGACAUAGCAUAUUUCCAUCACCCCAAGUGCUGCUUCCUGCCUCUUUGUAAUCAGACCCCUCUUUCCACCCCAACUCCUACAAUCCUGGUCUAUUUUAUGUCCCUUUAGUUUUAUCUUUUCCAGGACAUCAUAAAUGGAAGCAUAGAUGGCCUUUUAAUUCUUUUUUAAAUUAAGGUAUUCUUUACAUAUACUAAAAUGAGGUAUUAUUUGCAUGUUGUAUUUACAUAUAAUUUACAUAUAAUACAAUGUAUGCUUUUUGGUAUACAGUUCUGUGAGUUUUGACACAUACAGUCAUGUGACCACUACAUCAAUCAAGAUACAGAGCCAUGCUAUCACCUCAAAAUUUCUUCCUGAGUGAAGCUUGGGUAGUUUGCAUCUUCCAAAGGAUUUGUCCAUUUCAUCUAAGCUAUUAAAUUUGAUUAUUAUAAAGUUAAGGAGAAGUCAGUACUGAAAUAACCAAACACAUGAGUGAA
rnacentral:lncRNA from 10 species